UAGAAACAACAAUUAACAACAAGGAGCAAACAUGUAAUUACACCGUAAAGUAAGCAGAACACAGUUUAUGUCCAGCGAAACCACAUAAGGGAAAUCAAGUAACAACCCAAUAAAAUAACCUCUUUUACACAAGUUUAUACAAGACUUUCCUUGAGGUGCCACACCUGCUAAUUACAAUCACGGGUCCCAAAUCACGAACCCAAAUCACUUGGCAUCUUGUGCCCACAUUACAAAUCACAUCCAUACAGACAACUCGCGUGCUGAAUAGACAACUCACAUGCCAAUACCAUUAAUACCUCAGAUCUGCACGGAUAACUGACGUGCUAAGAGAGUGACAAUAUCUCAUAUCUGCACGGACAACUCACAUGGUAGUAAUUACAUACCUCAUAACCGCACGGAUAACUCACGUGCCAAUAGUAGCAAUAUCUCAUAUCCACACGGACAACUCACAUGCCAAUAAUACAACUCAUGCACAGAAGGUAGGUAUACAAGAAUACAUGUAAAUGAUCAACAAACAUCAAGGUUCAUAUUCCUAGACUAACGUAAGCGAUGAAUUACGGUGUAUGCUUGUGCAACUGUACUAUCACGGCUCAAGUCAACAAGUAAGAUCAGAGACAACAAAUGGCACAUAGGAAAAAACACAACAAAACUGUAAUAUGCAUGACUCACACAAAGUAGGCACACCACUACACAAAUACCAUUAAUAACAAACCCAUCAGGCCAUCACAAUUUAUCAUAAAUCAUCCCCGACAUAGCCCCGCUUGUCUCGCCGCAUGCACAACAAUCAAGUGCGAACACCCCGGCAAUCCUCUCAAUAAUACCACGUGUGCCACAAAUAUAACAACACAUCAUAACAACUCACAGCACAUGUGCCCAUAUGACCCAAUAUUUCCUUAGGAACCAUUCUGUUACCAAAACCACACAUAGCCCUCGGCUCAACAACACUUAAUACAACAACAUUAACAAUAACACGAGAGUACUACAAGUAAAUCAACACAAAAAUUAUAAAAAUACAAUGAAACAGAAGAAUGAGCUCACGAUGAAAGACAUAACAAUUAAUAAUGGCUUCAAAUAAGAAAAACUAAAAAACGAGAGAGAUAAUGUGUACAACGAUGUUAAAUAACAAUAACUCAACAAUAGGAGAGAUAACAUAUAACAAUAAUUUCAAUUAAUAAUAACCCAACAAUAGGAGAGAUAACAUGUAACAACGAUUUCAAGUAAGGAUAAAUCACAAUGGAAGAGAUAAGAUGUAACAAUGACUUCAAAUAAGGAUAAGUCAACAAUGGAAGAGAUAAUAUGGCAAUAAAAGAGGAAACAACUUCAAUUAAAGCAUAUAAGAGUAUAAUUGGCAAUAAAGGGUAGAACGUGAACCAAUCAACUUCAAAUAAGGCAUGUAAGAGUAAAUUUAACAAUGGAGGAUAUACAUGAUAAGGCGACUUCUUUUUAAUAUACAUAAGAAACCUAAGAGUCUAAAACAGUCAAAUUUCCGUAUAUAAGCCGUGUAUACACUUGUCACCUCGUGUACAAGUCUUUCACAUAGUUCAAAUAGUGUAAACAAACCAAUCCUUACGGGUUAGUUCCCCCACACAACGUUAGGUAAGAUACAUACCUCAAAAUCCUUCAAUCAACACUCUAAAAUAGAUUUCCUUUACAAUUCACCUCCGCUCGGCUAAAAUCUAACCAAAAUCGAUAUAAUAACAUCAAAUAAUGCAAGAGAAAAUAAUUACAAUAAAUAAAUCUAUGAUCUUUGCAAAAUUCUUCAAAUCCCAACCCCGGGCUCGCCCGGUCAAAACCCGAGUCCAAGGGUAGAUGACUACACAUAACCCCACGAGUCUAUACAUGUGUGGUGUUUCUAAAUCCGAGUCCAAAUCGACUCGCAAAACUCAAAUUUUCAUUUUUCAAAAUAUAGGCAAAGUUUCUCAAAAUUUCACUUUGAUUAUCAUAAUUUUGAUGUUUAAUUUCAUAUAUAAUCAUGUAAAAUAGUUGGAAAUUGAUAAAAAUCACUUACCUAAUGAUUGUAGAUAAAAAUCCCUUUUCAAAAUUGCUUUGGUAUUUUAUUUAUUGGAUUAACGAAUAUAGCUUGAUUGAUAAAUCUGUGAGCUUUGAUUUUAUAAUUCUUAUUAAAAAUAUUUCAUUAGGAGUGGUUAAGAACGCUGACGUGAGAUUUGUUCAUAGUAAAGUUACUGACAAAUUUAAUAACGCUACCAAUAUAUCUUGAAAAUUAAUGUUAAGAAAAAAUUAAAUAUACGAAUAUAUUAUAAAAAUUGAUAAGGUGGGUUGCUCUGAUGGUAAGCACCCUCCACUUCCAACCAAGAGGUUGUGAGUUCGAGUUACCCCAAGAGCAAGGUGGGGAGUUUUUGGAGGGAAGGAUGCUGAGGGUCAUUUGGAAACAGUCUCUCUACCCCAGGGUAGGAGUAAGGUCUGCGUACACACUACCCUCCCCAGACCCCACUAGUGGGAUUAUACUAGGUUGUUAUUGUUGUUGUAUUAUAAAAAUAAUAAAUAAAAUAAUAUUAAGUUAUUUUAGUUAUAAAUAAAAUACUUAGGUAAAAAUAUAUUAUAUAGUAUAUAAUAUAGAAAGUAUUACAUAAAUAUGAAGAUCUAUAUAAUAUCAAGGGUAUAAUAGACUUUUCAAGUAAAAAUAUUAUAAUAUCUGACAAAUGUAACUUUUGUGAUAACUAGAGCAAAGUAAAAUAAUUUUUGUGUAACAAAAGAAAGAAAAAUGACUUUUGAGUAAUAAUCACAAAGUUAAAUAAUUUUAACGUAACAAAAAAAAGUAACUUUUGGGUAACAAACACAAAAGUUCAAUGAAAAUCGAUAAAACUAACUCUAAUCUUCCUUCACAUACAUAUGAAAAGAAAGUCAUUGUAUUGAUUCAUCAACUUACUUUAACCUACACUCACCAUAGAUAUGUGAACUCAUGCAACUGUUUCACUUGAUCAAGUGCUAGGAAUUUACUAAUUCAAUUUUAUAUAUUAGUGACACUAAGAAAAAUGUUAAAAGAAUAAUUAAAACGUUAAUUUGAUAGAUAAAAUAUAUACCGUUAUGAAAAUUAUAUAGAAUACUAUUCUCUUCGUCUCAAUUUAUAUGAAGUGGUUCAGAUUAUAAGGAUCAAAACACCUAUAAUAAUUAACUAUGUGAAUUCAAACAUAAAUUUUUAAAACUUUUAAUUUAAAAAUUACAUCAAGAAUACUAUUAUACAUUAACUUAGUUAUUAAUUCAAAAUAUUUAAAAAGAAGUGAGAAAUUGUAGUCAAAGAAAAAAUUAUUUUCCAAUAAUGAUAUUUCAGGUAAAUUAAGACGGAGGGAUUAUUAUUAGUGAAAUCAAAUAUAAUGACACAUUUUGAAAUGAAAAUGCUAUCUAUAAGUUAAAACUGGUGGAGCAUUAAACAAUAUUUGGUCAGUAGAAUCUACAUUCUUUAUAAGAUUAAUACUAAUCUAACCAUUGUAAUAACAUCUUAACUAACUUACUUCCAAAACUGCCAGCUUUGCAUGAAACAAUACUCAUCAAAUCUCUCUCUCUCUCUCUCUCUAUCUGACACGCGCGCGCGCGCGCGCGCACACACGCACACACAGACAGAGCAGUAUAGCUAGAGAUGAAAACUGAUGUUGAGUUUUUUGUUUUGUUUGCUCUGUAAAUGCUUCUUCAGGAAAGAGAAACAGUGAACGAAAAAAGUUAGUUUUUCUGAAGCAGCAAUGACUGCAAAAAUACAAAAAAAGCCACAACAGACUCUUCUUUUUGCAGCCACAACUCCCCCCCCCCCCCUUCUUUUCAAGAAUUGGGUUUUAGUCACUUUCUUCAAAUAUUGAAGUCUCUUGAGCUCUUUUAUUGAAGAUAAGUAAAAAAAAGAGAAUCUUUCUUUAAACUCAGCAUAUUCAGCACAUAACUAAUGGUGGUUUUCUACUGAAAGGGGUUGAAGUUACCAAAUUGGUUUGCUGUUUCCUGUGGCUGAUAUUGAUUGGGGUAGUGGUCUGAGCUGAGCUGACCCCACGUGAGAAUUCUUGCACUAGCUUAAAAAAAAUCAAAUCUUGUUUUUGGAUAUAUACAGUGUUCUUGAACUGUUUCAUUUCCAAUUUUGGCUUUCCCUGAGAGGAUG
rnacentral:lncRNA from 1 species